AGAGCGAACGCUGGCGGCAGGCCUAAUACAUGCAAGUCGAACGGACCCUUCGGGGUUAGUGGCGGACGGGUGAGUAACACGUGGGAACGUGCCCUUUGGUUCGGAACAACUCAGGGAAACUUGAGCUAAUACCGGAUGUGCCCUUCGGGGGAAAGAUUUAUCGCCAUUGGAGCGGCCCGCGUCUGAUUAGCUAGUUGGUGGGGUAAAGGCCUACCAAGGCUACGAUCAGUAGCUGGUCUGAGAGGAUGAUCAGCCACACUGGGACUGAGACACGGCCCAGACUCCUACGGGAGGCAGCAGUAGGGAAUCUUGCGCAAUGGGCGAAAGCCUGACGCAGCCAUGCCGCGUGAAUGAUGAAGGUCUUAGGAUUGUAAAAUUCUUUCAGCGGGACGAUAAUGACGGUACCCGCAGAAGAAGCCCCGGCUAACUUCGUGCCAGCAGCCGC
rnacentral:rRNA from 1 species